rnacentral:rRNA from 1 species
UACAGAGGGGGCAAGCGUUGUUCGGAAUUACUGGGCGUAAAGGGCUCGUAGGCGGCCAACUAAGUCGGAUGUGAAAUCCCCAGGCUUAACCUGGGAACUGCAUCCGAUACUGGAUGGCUUGAAUCCGGGAGAGGGAUGCAGAAUUCCAGGUGUAGCGGUGAAAUGCGUAGAUAUCUGGAGGAACACCGGUGGCGAAGGCGGCAUCCUGGACCGGUAUUGACGCUGAGACGCGAAAGCGUGGGGAGCGAACAGG